rnacentral:rRNA from 1 species
GAUGAACGCUGGCGGCGUGCUUAACACAUGCAAGUCGAACGGAGUGCUCAUGACGGAGGAUUCGUCCAACGGAUUGAGUUACUUAGUGGCGGACGGGUGAGUAACGCGUGAGGAACCUGCCUCGGAGUGGGGAAUAACAGACCGAAAGGCCUGCUAAUACCGCAUAAGCGCACAGCAUCGCAUGAUGCAGUGUGAAAAACUCCGGUGGCGUGAGAUGGACCCGCGUUGGAUUAGCUAGUUGGCAGGGCAGCGGCCUACCAAGGCGACGAUCCAUAGCCGGCCUGAGAGGGUGAACGGCCACAUUGGGACUGAGACACGGCCCAG